rnacentral:lncRNA from 10 species
UGGCCUCCUUUACCUCUUAAGCUUGUCUUCUUUAUAAGAAGGGAAAAAAUGGCCAGCAUAGUUUAGCUGCUAUCCCAACUUCCAUUACCUCUUCAAUAGAAUGCAAGCUCCAAGGUGCCUGCAAGUUUUUAUUCCUUCCUGUGUCCCUGUAAACAGUGCCUGCCACUUACAGGGUGACUGAAUGGGUGAAUAUUUACUAAACCAAUAGUUACAUAAUUAGAAGAAACAAAAGGUACUCUUUGCCAAGAAGAGAAGACUAAGAAAAACUUGAAAGAAGUGUGGGGCUUCCUUCAGCUGGAGCCUCUUUCCAAGUUGUAUGGUGUGUGGAAUUCUUACUGUGAUGUGGGAGAGGCCAGCCUGGGGUCACUUACGGAUGAGUCUGAAGGCACAGUCAAUAUACAGGAGUCAGCUGAAGCUGGGGAAAUGGCACAGUUGUUGCAAUCCUCGUCUCUCAUUUGCUUCUUGGUAAAUCCCAGCUCCUUUCAAGCUGAAACUAAGCCCUCUCUAGGCUCCUUGCCCACAGACUGGGCCAGUCUGACAGGUGCUUCAGUGGUAUGAGGGGUGGGGUGGGGAAGGAGAUGCACUGUCACCUUUAGGCAAGGGGCUGAAUGCAUCCAGGUGAGUUCUGUGACAUUCUGAAUGUGCCAGAGCAGGCAGUUUGAGAGGAACAGACUGAGGAAAUACUUGUUUACAUAAAGUUACUAAGGCAGGAAUACCCACUCUCCUGUGUGCCAAGCAAGCCAGUGGGCAGCAACCCUCCCUGAACAUGAAUGCCCUCAGGGCCUUUACUCACACUGCUCCCUCCAGUGUCCUUUAUUGGACAUCACUGGCCAUCUCCACCUGCCCAGAAUCCACAGUAUCACCGCUCCUACUCUGCACCACGCCCAGUCCUGCCCAAGCAGAGGGGCUUCCUCUAGUGCUCAAUGUUCACCCGGAGAGGGCCUCAGUGGGUAACUAUUAGUGUGGGCCACCAAAGUUGUAACCUUGAGGGGUUUUACAAGGCCAGAGACCUUGCCUAGUAUAUAGAAUUGGCAGGUAUUUACAAAUUUUGUAAAAAUUAUCUCUCCCGCCAAACUUCUACCAGUACUCUAACCAAAAAGCUUUCUAUUUCUGGGUUUAUUACAAUUGCUAAAAGCGGUUAUAAUCUUCAUUAUUCUUUGGAAGGAUCUGAGAAGCAUGAAAAGGCACUGGCCCAGGCCUGAGUUCUAAUGGUGAUCAUCUCACAAGCCAGGGACUUCUCCCCUUCCUGGGCCUCAGUAACUGCUUGUUAUAAAAACAAGGGGUGUCUUUUAGCUCCAUUAGGUUAGGAUACCAUUUUGAGAGAAUACACAUGACGACUUAAGUGAAGUUUACUAAAGAAAAAUUAUUCUCCAGAAAUCAGCAGUACUUUGCAGACAUGCUGAGAAUACAUAAUCAUUAGGCAUUAGGGCAGUAUGGCAGUAUUUUAGCCAAACUCCUUUCACGUAAUUAAAAAAACUCACUUCAGACUGGUUUCAAAAAAUCAAAAAACAGACCGGGUACCAUGGCUUACGCCUGUAAUCCCAGCACUUUGGGAGGCCGAGACAGGGUGAUCACCUGAGGUUGGGAGUUCGAGACCAGCCUGACCAACAUGGAGAAACCCCGUCUCUACUAAAAAUACAAAAUUAGCCAGGUGUGGUGGCGCAUGCCUGUAAUCCCAGUUACUCAGGAGGCUGAGGCAGCAGAAUCACUUGAACCUGGGAGGUGGAGGUUGUGGUGAGCCGAGAUCGUGCCAUUGCACUCCAGCCUGGGCAACAAGAGCGAAACUCCAUCUCAAAAAAAAAAAAUCAAAAAUCAUUAUAAGGAUAACUGACAGAUUAAUGUAGUCCAAUGCAAGGAUGCAGGAAUAGAUGCAGAAACCAAGGAUGUCUUCAGGGUUAUCAAGGUACCUGCUAUCUCAGGCCCACAUGCUUCUGUUUGUCCAUGCAGUGCUGGCUCCUGAUUUUGUAAGUGCCACAUCCAAGCACCAUUCCAGAUGGUGAACAGUAUCUCUCCUUCCCCAUGCAAAAU